GUCUUAGUCUGUCAGGGCUACUAUCACAAAAUACCACAAAUUAUGUAGUGUAUAAACAAUAGAAAUUUCUCAUAGUUCUGGAGGUUUAAGUCAGAGAUCAGGGUGUCAGCAUGAUUGGCUGAGAGUCCUGGGUUGCAGACUUCUUGUAUCCUACAUGCAGGAAGGGGAAGAGGACUUCCCUGGGCCCUCUUUUAUAAGGGCACUAAUUCCACUCAAAGGCUCCACCUCUUAAUACCAUCACAAUGGGGAUUAGGAUUAGUAUUUUAGCAUUUGAAUGGGGGCACAAACAUUUAGACCAUAGCAUUAUAAUGAAAUAUUUAGUGGCCAUACAUACUAAAGGCUUAGAAAAAAGAAACUCAAUAACAUAUUUUAAUAAAUGUUGUCCAAAUCUAUUUGAGCAAGCAAUGCUUUGCCUUUUCUCGUCUUUCAUAUUAACAUCCUAUGGCUGAGGGUUCUGUACAAUACCUUUUGGGGAAAGCUUAUUUAGGUACUUACAAAGAUUGAAGUGUGAAUAUUUAGAUUGAGGUAUAAAAUACCACUAAAUAGUAGUUAUGAGGUUACUGACAGGAUAUAAAAGAAAUCAAAAAUGAGGAUUUGCUUACUUUGAGGGAAGUAUCAAAAUGAUGGUGGUCAUCAAGUAUAAAGUGAAUAAUUGUGGAGAAUAGAAAACAAUUGCUUUUCCUCUUCACUGAGUAGAGUAAAAGCAAAUUUUGAAGCAAGAAUUUAGUUGAAGAAAAGUGUAUUGUUUGUUAUAAAAUGUGUAAAUUGUAAAGAAGGUCACCAAAAAAAAAAAAAAAAAGAUAUAGAAUUUUAAUUCCUGGAGAACUUUAAAAACAAGACAGAAAAGUCUCUUAACUAACAAAUAUACAAUUCAGCCCACAUGCAUGGAAUGAGGCAGAAAAUAUGCUUGAACAAUAUGUUUUCCUCUUAAUCCAUCAAGUAGAACUUACUAUUCACCAUCCACUCUCUUAUGUUACAUUCAUUUACCUUAGACUUAAGUUCUAAUCUGAUUUUAGAGAAAGCGUCUACCCCAGAAGGGAGCAAGGCCAUCUGGUCACAAAGGAUUCCCCCCCCCCCCCCGCCCAAAUCUAACAAUCCUGUUGCAGCUAUAUCCUACAGCUCUUCUUCAUUCUUCAUUUACAUCAUUCUUUCUGCCAAAAUAAUUUUCCUUGAGCUUCUGGUGCUAAUUACCAAUGUCUGACCUCUUGAAUUCUAUUUUUUUUUAAAGAAUGCUCUGAUCAUAUCUACAUUAUCUGACUUAUGGCAUCUUCGCUCUGCAUAGUAGAUGCCUAUGAACUAGUUUGACAGUUGGUUCCAAGAUUUCUUGCUUUAUCAAAUCUGAAUUGCUCUCUAAGAUUUGUUUCCAAUUAACUUCUACCACCUCACACCACCACCCUACAUUCUCUCAUGUCUAAACGUAAAAUGUCUGUUCUAGCCCCAAACAAACAAAACAUGUUUUUCCUUUUUUUUAUGCAUUAUUAUAUGCCAGUAACUCAAGCUUAGGCUCUUGUCAUAUUCUAAUACUUAGAACAAUAGCUGGUGCAGAGUAGGCCUUCAAUAAAUAUUUAAGAAAGGAAUGAGUGACUGUAUGAGUAAACAAUUGAAUGCCAAACAUAAAGUUAAGGACUUUUAUAACAGAGGCUAUCCAUUGUGGCAACUUUUGGAUCAGAAUAAAGAGAUAUGGUCAAUAGUGUUAGGAGAACUGGAGAUACAAAUAGGAUGAAUCUACUCUUUUUAAUCUUUAUUUAUGAGAGAGAGAAAGCAUAUGAGAGUGGGAGGGAGGGGGUGCAGAGGGACAGGGGGAGAGAGAAUCCUAAGCAGACUCAACACUCAACAUGGAGCCAGACUUGGGGCUCUAUCUCAUGACCCUGACAUCAUGAGAGGGUUUCUUUCUUUUUUUUUUAUAAUAAUAUUUUUUUUAUUAUGUUAUGUUAGUCACCAUACAGUACAUCCCUGGUUUUUGAUGUAGAGUUUGAGAGGGUUUCUAACUAUGAUUUUAGUUUUAAACAUUUUUUCAAUUGAAUUUAUAGAAAAUGCUGUUCGUUGAAAAUCUCCUUUCAUUUAUCAACCAAAAAUGAAAUGUUAACGCCUUUAUUCCUCAUUUAUAUUUAAAACUCAGAUCUCUAGCUUCCAAUAAGGUGUUUACCAUGUGUGUUGAUCCAAAUACCUUCUAAUGAGUAAAUACACUUAUUUAUCAAGUAAGCAAAUAUUUUUGCUGUAGCUUCUGAGAAUCUUGCUAAUUUGUGUCAUGAAUCCUCCUGACAAGCUUCAGUUCUGUGCCCUGCUAAAGUAUAAUUAACUGCAAAAUCUCUCCAAAAUACCAGUCAAUACUGGAUAGCUCUUCCCGGCAGCACCCUUUGAGAAUUCGUUCUAAAAGGAAAUUCAGGCCAAGGUCAAACUGGUUGGUCUUCUAAAAUCAGCUUUUACCUUGGGCUCUUCAUUCAGAAGAGAUUUAGAGUGACUUCUCCUUCAUAAAUUCAUUCAUUUAUUGUCCUUGCAUUUUUAUGGUCAACAUCAGAUGGCAAUAUAAAAAGGGUCAAAGACAUUUUAGAAAUUGAACGAUGAUUUUCAAAUAGUAAAAGCUAAUACACAUGAGCAGUUACCACAUUCCAGGUAUUAACUUUAUUUUAAAAGGUAGGUACUGUUAUCAUUGUCAUUUUAUGAAUGAAGAACCCAAGCUAAAAUGUCAAGUUACACAGUUGGUCAGUAGCAGAGCUGGAGUUCUAACCCACAUAAUCUGAGGCAGAAUCCACAUCCCUAACUUCUUCUACAUCAUGGAGAUGAAUAAUUAUGAACAAUUAUUUAAAUGGGCUCAAAAGAACUAUGUCAAGUUCUUUGGAAAUUAAAGAAAUUUAGUAAUGUUUUACAGUAAGUCUCCAGUUCAAGCCUCUUGGUUUUGGUAAAUAUGUCAUAUCAGGAUAAAAUAUUAAUGUAAACUGUGGGAAAAAACUGGAUAAAAAAUUGAACACACAUCAAGUUUUGUUGUGUUGUUCCUAGCAACUACUAGUAUUUAUAAUCACCACCACAACCAAAUGUAGAAUAUACCCAUAAUGCCACAGUUGCUUUAUGACCCCUUCCAGUCAAUAUUCACCUCUCAUAAGCAACCAUUGCUUUGAUUUCUAGUACUAUCAGAUUAGUUUAAUCUAUUCUUGAGUUUCAUAUAAAAAUAUAUCAUAUAGUAUAUAUUGUCUUGUGUCCGGCUUCUUUCCCUAACAAAGUUUUUUUGAGUUUCACCUAUGAUUCUUGUGUGUUAGUAUGUCUUCCUUUUUUCUUCUUUUUUUUCUUCUCUUUUUUCUUUUUCCCUUUCUUUUCAUCGCUGAGUAGUAUUCUAUUACAUGAAUAUACUGCAUUCUGUUUUCCUAGGUCUUGAGUGUGGAUACACAAAUGGGGCCAAUCAUACGUCCUCACUCCGGACAUAAAGUUAACACAAAGAUACUGCCAAAAUAAAGAGGUUAUUCACAGUGGCAAGACUGAGAGGGUCCACGGGCAGCAAGAAUCCAGUGGUAAUGACAGUGGUCAGAAUGGGAUCCUAAACACAUAAUUUCAGUUGUGUGAUCUAAACUACAGUUCUUGUUAAUAAGUUUUCAUUAGUCCCGGUUCAUUUUUCUGGACAACUCCAGGCUUCCAUGAAUUCUCAGAGAUCCUUGGGAGCCUUCCAAUUCAGGUUCUGCUUAAUUAUCAGGACUGCUUUCUAUCGCUUGCCACCAAGAAUCUUUAUUGGCCAACUCAUUUCCUUCAGUACUGUAAGAUUACGUAUCCAACACCUCAUUUUAUACACCGUCUGAGGUAACAAGUUUAAAAGCUCUGAUCAUAGCAAUAGCAGUAGUUGCUGACAAAGUGGUUAAAUUUCCUUGUCAUUGAAUCAAUGAUUGCUUUUAAUUCUGAAAGAUAUUAAAAUCCAGGAUCAUUAAUUUUCUUAUGUAUUUAUUUACUCAUUCAUUCAUUCAUUCAUCAAAAAAACAAAUAAACACAAAAUGAUGAUAUAGAAAAAUGUUCAUUGCAUGUUUGGGGAUAAAUGCUAAUAUACAUAUGAUCACAUUAUGUAAAACACAUGCAGGCACAUUUUUGUGCAUAUAUUGAGAUGCUGCUUUCCAAAAUUGAAAUGAUAUUCGUAUAGGAUAGAGAUAAUUUUUCAAAAUCAUGUUAUUAGGGUUUUAUUUUCUGUUUUUAUAAUAAAUAUAAAUUGCUUUAAAAUUGGAAAAAUAGAUUUUAUAAAACUAAGUCAAUGCCAUGAUCUUAUUACAAUUUUGUUCUCUUUUUUUUUUAUUUAUUUUUAUUUUAAUGAUUUUUUAUUAUAUUAUGUUAGUCACCAUACAGUACAUCCUCGGUUUCCGAUGUAAGGCUCGAUGAUUCAUUAGUUGUGUAUAACACCCAGUGCACCAUGCAAUACGUGCCCUCCUUACUACCCAUCACCGGUCUAUCCCAUUCCCCCACCCCCUCCCCUCUGAAGUCCUCAGUAUGUUUCUCAUAGUCCAUAGUCUCUCAUGUUUCAUUCCCCCAUCUGAUUACCCCCCUUUCUUUAUCCCUUUCCUCCCCUACCGAUCAUCCUAGUUCUUAUGUUCCAUAGAAAGAGAAAUCAUAUGAUAGUUGUCUUUCUCUGCUUGACUUAUUUCACUUAGCAUUAUCUCCUCCAGUGCCGUCCAUGUUGUAGCAAAUGUUGAGAACUCGUUCUUUCUGAUAGCUAAUAUUCCAUUGUAUAUAUGGACCACAACUUCUUAAUCCAGUCAUCUGUUGAAGGGCAUCUCAGCUCCUUCCACGAUUUAGCUAUUGUGGACAUUGCUGCUAUGAACAUUGGGGUGCAUAUAGCCCUUCUCUUCACUACGUCUGUAUCUUUGGGGUAAAUACCCAGUAGUGCAAUGGCUGGAUCAUAGGGUAGCUCAAUUUUUAAAUUUUAAGGGACCUCCACACUGUUUUCCAGAGUCGCUGUACCAACUUGCAUUCCCACCAACAAUGUAGGAGGGAUCCCCUUUCUCCACAUCCUCUCCAACAAUUGUUUCUGGCCUUGUCUAUUUUUGCC
ensembl:lncRNA